rnacentral:misc_RNA from 1 species
GUUUCAACCAAAAAGCUGGUCUAGGGUAUGAAGAAGAAGACUCUGGUUGCUUACUAGAUGAUCAUUUUUUAUUGCUUAUUGAAAAUUUAAUGUCUAAUGUGACUCACAUAAGUCCAAAAGCUCCUUAUUUGCCAACAAUAUCUGGAAUUAACAAACAAUUGCAUGUCCUUGAAAAAUGAAAAACAUAAUAAAUGCUCAUGGUUCUGCAAAAGAACUGGUUUUGGUUAUGAGGC